rnacentral:lncRNA from 1 species
AUAAUGUUUGAUGGACCAGAGCAGAUGGAGCUGGAAGAGGGGAAGACAGGCAACAGACUCUGCCAGUAUUAUCUGUCUGAGACUGAAGAACUCCAGUCAGUAGUGAAUGAUAACAGCCAGGACCUCCAGAGGCUGCAGGCAUAAAUGAAUGAACUCAAUGCAAAAGUUCACCUAUUGCAGGAGGAGCUACAGCUGCUGCAGGAACAGGGCUCCUGUAUAAGGGAAGUAGUCCGGGCCAUGAAUAAGGAGAAAGUGUUAGUCAAGGUGUAUCCCAAGGGCAAGUUUGUCUUAGAUGUGGACAGAAACAGCAACAUCAAUGACAUGAGACCCAAUUGCCAGGGGGGCGCUAAGAAAUGAUAGCGACACACUGCACAAUAUCAUACCCAGCAAAGUAGACCCACUGGUGUCACCAGUGAUGGUGGAGAAGGUGCCAACCUUGAUUUAAGAGAUGAUUGGUGGACUGGACAAGCAGAUUAAGGACAUCACAGAAGUGAUCGAGCAGCCUGUUAAGCAUUCCAAGCUCUUUGAAGCACUGGGUAUCACACAACCCAGGGUGGUACUGCUGUACGGACCUCUAGGCACUGGGAAGACACUGUUUGCCUAGGCUGUGGCUCACCAUACAGACUGUACCUUUGUUCAUAUCCCUGGCUCUGAAUUUGUAUAGAAAUUCAUCGGGGAAGGGCCAAGAAUGGUGAGGGAGCUGUUUGUCAUGGCAUGAGGACCUGCCAUCUGUCAUCAGCUCCAUCAGCUCCUCGCAGCUGGAGGGGGGUUCUGGAGGGGACAGUGAAGUGCUGCACAUCGUGCUGGAACUGCUCAACCAACUGGACAGCUUUGAGGCCCCCAAGAAGAUCAAGGUUAUCAUGGACCACUGCUUCACUCAGGGCACAUCAACAGAAAAAUUGAAUUCCAGCUGGACAUUUUGAAGAUCCAUUCUCUGAAAAGGAACCUGACCCAGGGGAUCAACCAGAGAAAAAUUGCCAAGCUUAUGCCAGGAGCAUCAGGGGCUGAAGUGAAAGUCAUAUACAGAGAAAGCAGCAUAUAUGCCCUGAGGGAACGGCGAGUGCAUGUCACCCAGGAGGACUUUGAGAUAGCAGUAGCCAGCGUCAUGCAGAAGGAUAGAGAGUAAAACAUGUCCAUCAAGAAACUAUGGAAG